rnacentral:lncRNA from 1 species
ACGUCUGCGGGAAAGAAGAGGGUGGAGGAGGAUAUACUAAAAGAAGACAGAUCAGUCUCUCUCCUGAUAAGAAGAGUCACCAAGAGGAACAUCUGCAACAACUAGCGGACAACUUGUUCCUUCUCAGCACACCUCACUCCCAACUACCCUGCAGGAUGGAGGUGUAUCAGGAAAAACAGUGCUCCGGAUCCCUUACCUGAGAUCUAAAGACGCCACAUUUUCUUCACAAGUGUUCUUAAGUCAACUGGGAGGACAAAGAUUGGAUGCUGCUACAAAGAGACCAAUCAACAACUGCUCAGCAGAGAUACAGAUCUGAAGCACAGAAGUGCAAUAGACCUUCCUGAUGCCUUCGCCAGGAGCAUGGAAUUCUUCCCAGAGUCACAGAAGAUGGCACAGCCUGGGGACAAUUGGGAAUCACCUGGAGGAUGGCAGACAACACGAACCUGCAAGUAAUCAUCCGACCA